AGAUUUGGUCAUAUUGAUAGGGUAUCCAUCCAAACAUGUUUGGUGUUCAAAGUUUCAACGUGUACAGUCCGAAGCAACCCUUUCUACGACAGGUGGUGACCACCUGGUGGCGCCAGUGUGCCAAGCGCCGUUGGACGAUCAGGAGAAGAAGAUUUGAAUUGACGGAUGUGACGUCAGGUCUUUAGGUCAAUUGAAGACAGGUGUGCUCAAGGGGAGUUAUCAAAUGCAGGUGGCACCGAGCGCGUGGCGGCGGCGGCGGCGGCGGCGGCGGCGGGCGCCUUCUCAGGUAAGCUAGCAUGCUGGCAAAUGUUUGUCGUCUCCUGCCGUUUUUCACGACGGACGCCAUGUUUGUUGCAGGAUUUUCGCGCUCGAGGGGAGCUCUCGAAUGCAGGUGCCACCGAGUGCGUGGCAUUUUCUCAGGAUUGUCGUACUCUCGUGACUCGGCAACGAACGUCACGUCCACCGCGACGGUGGGCCUGGAGGUAAAUUGUCGGCCGCAGGCAAUUUAGCUCGCGCGCAAAUGUUUGCCGUUUCUUACGAUGCCAUUUAAUAUUUCUUGCAGGAUUUUUCGCUGUCUAGGGAGUGUUUGAGGUUUGGCCACGGCACGCCACAAUCGACUUUGCGUCGCGUCGUUGCGCGUUUUGGUCGUUUUGCCGCUACGGUAUUUCAAAUGUCUUUCGCGUUUAAAAAUUUUUUUUUAAUGCUGGCCAGCAUUUUUUAUUCGUUUGUUUGUCGAAGGUUCUUAAAUGACGCCGCCCAUAAGCGCGUGUUUGUCUGAGUAUAGGAAAUGUUAGUUUGACUCUAGUCAAUUAAACUAUUCUUUAUUAUUUAAUUUACGUGUUAUGCAAACUGACGAAUGUGACGAAUUGGUUACGUCAUGUCCAAAUCAGAUCAAAUCUAUUCAAAGAUGGCGCCCGCCCGCCCUCAUUCCGUUACGCAACAAACAUUUGCGCGGUUUAUCUUCUCCCGUUUUGGACGCCGCUAACCUGGAUCAUCUGUCCAAUGUGAGGUGAGUUGAUGAUGAUAAAAUUAAAAUAAGAAUUAUAAUCCUGAUAAAUGAUCAUAAUUUACUACAAUAUAAUUAUAUAUUUUUUCAACUGUAAAACUCAGUAUGUAUAAAAUUAAAAUAUUAAUUAUAAUUCUGAUAAAUUAUCAUAACUUACUACAAUAUAAUAAUUAUAUAUUUUUCCAAAUGUAAAACUCUACUUAGUAUGUAUAAUUGUUGCAAAAAUAUCAUGCCAUUGGCACUCUACUCAAUGUCUAUUUUUGUUGCAAUCAUUUGUUUGUCUUUUGUAGCACUAAAAAAGGCUGCCCAGCCAGCAAGCAGGAGGCUCUUGAGGAGCCAUUUCAGUGAUGUUGACACUGAGGAAGAGUAGUCCUAAAUCAGGCUGCAAGAGGAGCCGAAUGGGAUGAGGAAAACUAUCAUUCCAUAUCCAAAGGCACAAUGGCCUAUCCAAAGGAGCAAUGGCCUAUCCAAAGGAGCAAUGGCCUAUCCAAAGGAGCAAUGGCCUAUCCCCAAAGGAGCAAUGGCCUAUCC